rnacentral:pre_miRNA from 13 species
AACGGUGAACAGCGAUGGCAUCACGCCCAGUGCCAGGAGAUGUCAUCACGUGCUACCUUGUUCCAUGAUGUCAUACUCCAGCACCGCACUUGUCCGUCGAGAAGCGUGGG